rnacentral:rRNA from 1 species
UACGGAGGGUGCAAGCGUUAUCCGGAUUCACUGGGUUUAAAGGGAGCGUAGGUGGCUUUGUAAGUCAGUGGUGAAAUAUUGCGGCUCAACCGCAAAACUGCCAUUGAUACUGCUUAGCUUGAAUCACGUCGAGGUGGAUGGAAUAAUACAUGUAGCGGUGAAAUGCUUAGAUAUGUAUUAGAACACCGAUUGCGAAGGCAGUUCACUAGGCGUGUAUUGACACUGAGGCUCGAAAGCGUGGGGAUCAAACAGGA